CAGAUUGAACGCUAGCGGGAUGCUUUACACAUGCAAGUCGAACGGCAGCGCGGACUUCGGUCUGGCGGCGAGUGGCGAACGGGUGAGUAAUAUAUCGGAACGUGCCCAGUAGCGGGGGAUAACUACGCGAAAGCGUGGCUAAUACCGCAUACGCCCGUACGGGGGAAAGGGGGGAUCGCAAGACCUCUCACUAUUGGAGCGGCCGAUAUCAGAUUAGCUAGUUGG
rnacentral:rRNA from 1 species